rnacentral:rRNA from 1 species
UACCAUGGUGGUAACGGGUAACGGGGUGUUAGGGCACGACACCGGAGAGGGAGCCUGAGAAACGGCUACCACAUCCAAGGAUGGCAGCAGGCGCGCAAAUUACCCAAUCCCGACACGAGGAGGUAGUGACAAUAAAUAACAAUACGGGGUUCUUUAGGAUCUCGUAAUUGGAAUGAGUACAAUUUAAAUCUCUUAACGAGGAACAAUUGGAGGGCAAGUCUGGUGCCAGCAGCCGCGGUAAUUCCUGCUCCAAUAGCGUAUAUUAAAGCUGUUGCAGUUAAAAAGCUCGUAGUUGAAUUUCGGGGUCAGUAGGUCGGUCGUGCCACUGGUAUGAACUGGUUUUACUGAUACCUCCCUCUUGAAGAACUGUAAUGCCAUUAAUUUGGUGUUGCAGGGAAUCAGGACUGUUACUUUGAAAAAAUUAGAGUGUUUAAAGCAGGCUUUAGCUUGAAUACAUUAGCAUGGAAUAAUGAAAUAGGAUGUUUGAUCCUAUUUUGUUGGUUUCUAGGAUUGACGUAAUGAUUAAUAGGGAUAGUUGGGGGCAUUAGUAUUCAAUUGUCAGAGGUGAAAUUCUUGGAUUUAUUGAAGACCAACUACUGCGAAAGCAUUUGCCAAGGAUGUUUUCAUUAAUCAAGAACGAAAGUUAGGGGAUCGAAGACGAUCAGAUACCGUCGUAGCCUUAACCAUAAACUAUGCCGACUAGGGAUCGGAUGAUGUUAAUUUUUUAAUGACUCAUUCGGCGCCUUACGGGAAACCAAAGUGUUU